rnacentral:rRNA from 1 species
UACGAGGGGGGCGAGCGUUGUUCGGAAUUAUUGGGCGUAAAGGGUGCGUAGGCGGUUUGGUAAGUCUGAUGUGAAAUCUAUGGGCUCAACUCAUAGUCUGCAUCGGAAACUGCCGGGCUUGAGUGUGGGAGAGGUGAGUGGAAUUCCUGGUGUAGCGGUGGAAUGCGCAGAUAUCAGGAGGAACACCAAUAGCGAAGGCAGCUCGCUGGGACGUUACUGACACUAAGGCGCGAAAGCUAGGGGAGCAAACAGG